UGAUAUCUGACGGGUGAGCACUGAGGAGAGCCUCCUGCACCCCAUCUGUGUGUGGGAGCUGACCAGAGGACCAUUAAGUGCUAGCAGAGGAGCGAGAACAAAUGAAGAACCUCAGCAACCAGUUUGCCCAAGGACAGAGGUAACAUCUUGUGCUGGAAGUUUGGAGAUAAAAAGAAUACACAAGCCUUUAAUGACAAGAAGCCCUUUUGACUGGGAAAACCUAGGGGCAGGAUGACCUGAAACAGACUGACACAGAAAUUGUCUAAACAGCAGAAAUUGCGCACAUCAACACUUCUGCAUGCGUUGCAUAAGAAAUGGGCCCAACGUGCCUAACGGAGCUGAUCAGAGAGAGGCUAAGAAAUAUGUAAUGAGGAAAUACAUAUGAAGACCCUGGUGGAAAAGGCCCAGGUUGGAGAAACACCAUACCAGAAAGUGAAGAAAUAGACUGAAGGACCCAACCCAGAGACCGGAGGAGGCAGUGAGCAUCCUGGAGCUCUGGUAUGAGUGAUAAACUGUGCAAUGCACCAGGCAAAUCGUGUGAAAUCUGCAAGCAAUCUCCUUAACCACUAGUUGACUUAUGAUAUACACUUGGAGUACCUAGUAGAAAAACAACGGUGCUUCAGGGACAUUAUGCCCC